AGAAAAUUGGACCGAGGUAUAUUGAAAACGGGGGUGAACUGUUAAUUUAGAACCGAAAAGUCAUUGUACAAAGAGUCUACAUGUUGAAUAUUUGAUCGGUUAAUUGAUUAUAUAUUCUAUUUUUUUUAUAAUGUGAAACUGAACAUCAACUAAUACUGUUCUGUUCUAAAUCUGAUCAAUUCCCCCUCUUUCGCACAACGGUCUAUUCAGGAUCUAAGGCUCAUGAUGCAAAGGGAUUCAAUAAGCUGGUAGGUGCUGGCCAACGCAAGGUUUUCAGCUCCACUCUACAGCGAAUGAGCACGGAAAUAUACCGCAGCUUCCUCAUUCAUUUGAAGUGUUUACGCUCAGAUCAGAAAGGCAUCACCCCCACUGAUAACCUGCAGCAGCUGGAGGACAAGGUCAGCUCAGACAGCAGCUCGGAGCCCGUUAAGACCUGAGCCACACACAGAUUCUCAGACUUGGCCAGGAACAAAGGAGCAGCGGCAAGGCUUUUCCCCAUAAUCCUCUAGUGCUCCCUCCCAGCUGGCCGAGCCUGACGGGUGUGCUGACACUGACUGGAUCUGAGUGCUCUCUUUUUCCACCGUGCAGGAUCUGGCUGUGUGGAGGAAGCGGGGGCUAAUUAAUGAGCUGUGAGUAUGAGGCCUCACUGCUGACAGCCAGUGGAGACAGGAUUAAUAGUCCGGUCAUCUGGCUUGAUGUGUGUGCCUCCAGGCUGCCCCUUGACGAGAGUCCACUGCGGAAUCCACUACGGCGG
rnacentral:lncRNA from 1 species